UGUGGUCCUGUUUAUAAGGGUUUGC
rnacentral:piRNA from 1 species